rnacentral:rRNA from 1 species
UCUAGAGAUUUGGCGGACGGGUGAGUAACACGUGGGCAACCUACCCUAUAGUUUGGGAUAACUCCGGGAAACCGGGGCUAAUACCGAAUAAUCUCUUUUACUUCAUGGUGAAAGACUGAAAGACGGUUUCGGCUGUCGCUAUAGGAUGGGCCCGCGGCGCAUUAGCUAGUUGGUGAGGUAACGGCUCACCAAGGCGACGAUGCGUAGCCGACCUGAGAGGGUGAUCGGCCACACUGGGACUGAGACACGGCCCAGACUCCUACGGGAGGCAGCAGUAGGGAAUCUUCCACAAUGGGCGAAAGCCUGAUGGAGCAACGCCGCGUGAGUGAAGAAGGUUUUCGGAUCGUAAAACUCUGUUGUAAGGGAAGAACAAGCACAGUAGUAACUGGCUGUACCUUGACGGUACCUUAUUAGAAAGCCACGGCUAACUACGUGCCAGCAGCCGCGGUAAUAAUCGUCGAC